rnacentral:rRNA from 1 species
UACGUAGGGCGCAAGCGUUAUCCGGAAUUAUUGGGCGUAAAGAGCGCGUAGGCGGUCCGAUAAGUCGGCUGUGAAAGUCAGGGGCUCAACCCUUGAAAGCCGGCCGAUACUGUCGGACUAGAGUCCGGAAGAGGCAAGUGGAAUUCCCGGUGUAGCGGUGAAAUGCGCAGAUAUCGGGAGGAACACCAAUGGCGAAGGCAGCUUGCUGGGACGGUACUGACGCUGAGACGCGAAAGCGUGGGGAGCGAACAGG